UUCUACAGCCAUGCCACUCUGAACAAGCCCAAUCCCGUCUGAUCUCGGAAGCUAAGGAGGGUCGGGCCCGGUUAGUCCUUGGAUGGGAGACCACCUAGGAAGACCAGGUGUUGUAGGUG
rnacentral:rRNA from 1 species